CAGAGCCGCGGCACCAUGGCACCUGCUGGACGCCCGGGGGCCAAGAAGGGGAUUUUGGAGCGCCUGGAGAGUGGGGAGGUUGUGAUUGGAGAUGGCAGCUUUCUCAUUACUCUGGAGAAGAGAGGCUACGUGAAGGCUGGGCUCUGGACUCCAGAGGCAGUGAUAGAACACCCAGACGCAGUUCGUCAACUUCACAUGGAAUUCUUGAGAGCAGGAUCAAAUGUCAUGCAGACUUUUACCUUUUCUGCCAGUGAGGACAAUAUGGAAAGCAAGUGGGAAGAUGUAAAUGCUGCUGCCUGUGACCUCGCCAGGGAAGUGGCUGGCAAAGGUGAUGCUUUGGUAGCAGGGGGGAUCUGCCAGACAUCAAUAUACAAAUACCACAAGGAUGAAGCUAGAAUUAAAAAACUUUUUCGACAACAGCUAGAAGUUUUUGCCUGGAAAAAUGUGGACUUCUUGAUUGCAGAGGUGAGGCUAGUAUUGGAGGAAAAGGAUUGAACCUAUUUUGCAAGCAUAACUGCAGAGUCUUCA
rnacentral:sRNA from 1 species